UCGUUGGUGUUUGAUACUAUACAUGAAUAUAUAUUAGGAGAAAAUAAUUAUUUGUUGAAGUUUAUAUUAAUCCCCUCUUUGUCGGCUACUAACUUUUUUUGAGGCAAUCUUCUUGUCAUCCCAUAUUUUCUUGAGUUAUGAUGUCAAAUCAUCAAAUUCAAUUUCGAAUGUUAGCUUUUGAGAUCUUGGUAAUUAAUAAUGAGUUGAUUGUACAAGGCCCCUCGUACCCUAUUGUUCGAUGUGGUGAGUCGCAGCUUUGUAAUAUCAUCAAUUAUCGUCAUCGAGAUAAUGCAGCAUGGAUGUUUUUAACGACUGAAAUUAUAUAUCAAGGGAAGCUUGUUCGUAAUAUUAUUGACUCAGGGAGCUUAAGUGAUGUGAUCAUCGGGGGGAGAAGAUACGCGCUGCACUCUUUUUCCCUUGGCCAUGGUUUUAUCCCAUCGGGUUUUCUUGGCAAGGUUUUUAAUGAGGCAGCAUCCCCAAGCGUAUCGAAAGAAUUAUGUACUCUUUUCCCUUCAUUAGGUUUUUAUCCCAUUGGGUUUUCCCUAGUAAGGUUUUAACGAGGCAUAUUCUUUUGACCGAUGGAUAGCCAAGGGGGAGUGUUAUGAAUUCAUUGAUUGUGGCUAUCCACAUCCCGUAACUCAUUCUCUUUUAUAUACCAUCCAUUAUUAAUAUAUUGAUUGUAUUAAUGUCAUGUAGCCUAUAUAAUAGCUUUGUAUAUGAUGAGAUAUUAGAUCAAUGGAAAUCAUUUUUCUAUU